GCCUUAGCGAAGUUAACUGUCGAGUUCCACUAGUUAGCGCUCGCUAGCAUUGUAUAGCUACGUUUGAAAAUUACGUAAAGUUAGUUUUGUUGCUUAACUGUAAGCCCGAGAGUUUCGUGGGCAUGGCUGCGACCACAUGGGUCUCCCCCGUGCCGGAAUCGAAGAGGACGGGCCACCGUGUUCGGGGUGGCGGCGCGUGUAGCUUCAGGCUUAGCGGACACACAGCUUAGCUCACACUAGGCAGGCUAGCUGAUAGCGUCCUCUUUUCGACUGCGGCAAGGACAUGGACCCGUUCCGAAUUGCACUGCGACCCGACCACUAUUUCGUGACAAGGUAGCCCGGGCGCGUCAGUGCUAUCGAGCGAAAUGUGGAAUCGGGGAGCACUCGGAAUUACCUCGCCAGCUUUUAGCUACUAAUCCUGCUUAAUGCAGCCCUCGACGCCGGACGUCGCCUGCGGUCCUCGUCGGAGCUCGGCCGGGCAGCAGCGACAAGCAUCACUCGUACCGCGGCCUACCGUGUUCCCUCGUCGGUGUGGUCUUGCUGGCAGGCGAGACCAGGGUCAUCGCCGUGCACUACUACGGGGUCCCAACGUUUGCUUUCGAUUGCGGCCCACGAAUAGGAAGGAUAUCCAGUGUGCUGCUCCACGUUUGCCAUCCUCCCAACGUCCCCAUACAGGAGAUGGCCCUGAGCACCACUCGUACCGUGGAUGGCCGCUUUGGCUCCAUUGCAUUCUACCACCCAUGGCGUCCUGCUGGCAGACGGGACUUGGUUUGGAGCCCUGCUUCUACUGAAUCUUGACCUCUGCUUUCGGAUGCGGCCCACGAGUAGGAAGGAUAUCCAGUGUGCUGCUCCACGUUUGCCAUCCUCCCAACGUCCCCAUACAGGAGAUGGCCCUGAGCACCACUUGUAACCGUGGCCGACCGCGCUACCUCGCCACCCGUGUGCGGUCUUGCUGGCAGACAAGACUGCUCAUCGCCUUGCACCAC
rnacentral:lncRNA from 1 species